rnacentral:rRNA from 1 species
GACGAACGCUGGCGGCGUGCUUAACACAUGCAAGUCGAACGGAGCACCCUUGAACGAGACUUCGGUCAAAGGAAAGGAAUGCUUAGUGGCGGACUGGUGAGUAACGCGUGAGGAACCUGCCUUUCAGAGGGGGACAACAGUUGGAAACGACUGCUCAUACCGCAUGACGCAUUCGGAUGGCAUCAUCUGAAUGCCAAAGAUUUAUCGCUGAGAGGUGGCCUCGCGUCAGAUUAGAUAGGUGGAGGGGUAACGGCCCACCAAGUCGACGAGCAGUAGCCGGACUGAGAGGUUGACCGGCCACAUUGGGACUGAGAUACGGCCCAGACUCCUACGGGAGGCAGCAGUGGGGAAUAUUGGGCAAUGGGCGCAAGCCUGACCCAGCAACGCCGCGUGAAGGAAGAAGGCUUUCGGGUUGUAAACUUCUUUUAAGAGGGAAGAGCAGAAGACGGUACCUCUUGAAUAAGCCACGGCUAACUACGUGCCAGCCGCCGCAGUAA